rnacentral:lncRNA from 1 species
ACCAGGUACACCAGACUGAAGAAAGGGUGGAACUCCCUACACUUGACUCUGCCACAGCAGUGGCCCCACCAGCCUGUCUCUCACCACAGGGUCACCAAGGACCAACAGAUCCAUCGGCUUCUGGCUUCCACUGUAUCCAGCCUCUUCAAAGUCCCUGAACUCUACUGUGGCUCUUGUAACAUCCGUCCAUCCGAACAGACGUAUUUACAGUGUGAUGUGUGAUCUGAGAACUGAUAUUAAUAGUUAAGGUUGGAAUAAAAGAACCUGUU